GCCCCAGUGGCGCAAUCGGUUAGCGCGCGGUACUUAUAAUGCCGAGGUUGUGAGUUCGAGCCUCACCUGGGGCA